CCGCCGCAUGUCAACAAAGCGCGCGCGGUCGUCAUUGUUGUUCGUGAUCGAGCCGGGUUUUCGUCGUUUCGCAAGUGUUAUGGCGUGAUCGGGCCCUGUAAGUGUCGUUUCGCAACGCUAUGUAAAGUGACUGAAUUUGGGCUACCAAUUUCCACUCCAAGGGGAAGACGCACAUAGGUGUCAAAAGAAAUUGAAGAAUUCAAGCCUUGAAAGUAUAAUAUCCCUUCAACUGUCAUUGUUAGUACAUUCAACUCCAGAUACUCGAUGCGGACGAAAAAGAAUAGGCAUUCGAUAGUCAUCUAACUGCAAUAUUUUUUUUUACUCAACUUCAUCAGUAUGAUCUGACGAAUAUAGAGUCGUUAAAAAAGAAGGAACGGGAAAGUCAGUGGUAAAAUUGAGUAAACCAAUCAUUUGCCAAAUCAAUCCAUUGACAAUAUCCAUCGAAACAGUGGUUCGAGGAUGACAAAUUAUUGAGAAAGGGAGGAACCCAGACUUCUACGAUCUAAGGAAAAAACUUGGAACUGAUGUUUGAUAAAAAUUCAGCCACUGGUAUACCAGAGUGAAAGAAAGUUCACUCAACGACCCAUUAUUGCACAAGCGGAUGAGAGCUCCGUCAAAAAUAGGACUUUGUGUAGGCAAUGCUGAAUACAAGAUCACUGAAUCGGAAUCUUGUGACUUUAGAAAGCGUACAAGAUUUAAGAAAAUCAUUGUAACAAUGCUUACAGCCUCGAUAGGAAGAUGCAAUUGAACCCAAUGGUGAAUGAAAUCCACGUUUCCAGGACAUACUUGAUAAAUUGCAUUUUACCUUAGACCAGAGGUAGGUUGCAUCAAUUUCCUCAUUUCUCCUCCCUCAUAUUACAACAUGAGGUCAUCAAAAUUCCUGAGGAAUGUAGUAAUCAAGACCAGCGACGAUGAUCUACAUGGACAUGAUGGAUUGCUCAUCUUGAGCAAGUGACAUCCCUUACCAAAGCACUCUGACAAUCCAUUGGAAAUUCCAAGUCAUCUUAAUGGUAGUGAUCCAUAGUAGUAAUGGUAGGAACCAUAGUGAUGUACUUUGUCCAAUAACUCCCUUUUCUCCUUUCAAAAACUUGGCCCAAACCUUUUUUCAAUCAAUUUUAUUUCUUUCUCCAUGGCAAUUUUCAUUUUUUAUUCUCAUACUUAUUACGUAUUUCGAUUUUUAUGACCUUUGCUGACAUUUUCAAUAGAAUAAUGAUUUCAUCCGACAUCAUUGCAGUCACCCUGGGUCAUAACACAGCUGCUACUAAUAAAAUAGAUUCGAUUUUUCGUUCUUCGUAAUUACUUCUCAGCCAGCUAUUCCCAUUAUUCCUUCUGUCACCCAGCUUCUUCGUUUGUAUACUUCUCUUGUGGUCCUUUCUCUUUCAAAUUUUGCUCCUAUCUUAUUGGUAUUAUACAGUCUUCUUUUUGUAUUUUUCAUAUGAAUCACUGAGCCAAUCAGGAACCU